AACGAACGCUGGCGGCAGGCUUAACACAUGCAAGUCGAACGCACCGCAAGGUGAGUGGCAGACGGGUGAGUAACACGUGGGGAUCUGCCCAAUGGUACGGAAUAGCUCCGGGAAACUGGAAUUAAUACCGUAUGAGCCCGCAAGGGGAAAGAUUUAUCGCCAUUGGAUGCACCCGCGUCGGAUUAGCUAGUUGGUGUGGUAAAGGCGCACCAAGGCGACGAUCCGUAGCUGGUCUGAGAGGAUGAUCAGCCACACUGGGACUGAGACACGGCCCAGACUCCUACGGGAGGCAGCAGUGGGGAAUAUUGGACUAUGGGCGCAAGCCUGAUCCAGCCAUGCCGCGUGAGUGAUGAAGGCCUUAGGGUUGUAAAGCUCUUUCGCCGACGAAGAUAAUGACGGUAGUCGGAGAAGAAGCCCCGGCUAACUUCGUGCCAGCAGCCGCGGUAAAAC
rnacentral:rRNA from 1 species